rnacentral:rRNA from 1 species
UGUCGUCAGCUCGUGUUGUGAAAUGUUGGGUUAAGUCCCGCAACGAGCGCAACCCUUAUCCUUUGUUGCCAGCGGUCCGGCCGGGAACUCAAAGGAGACUGCCAGUGAUAAACUGGAGGAAGGUGGGGAUGACGUCAAGUCAUCAUGGCCCUUACGACCAGGGCUACACACGUGCUACAAUGGCGCAUACAAAGAGAAGCGACCUCGCGAGAGCAAGCGGACCUCAUAAAGUGCGUCGUAGUCCGGAUUGGAGUCUGCAACUCGACUCCAUGAAGUCGGAAUCGCUAGUAAUCGUGGAUCAGAAUGCCACGGUGAAUACGUUCCCGGGCCUUGUACACACCGCCCGUCACACCAUGGGAGUGGGUUGCAAAAGAAGUAGGUAGCUUAACCUUCGGGAGGGCGCUUACCACUUUGUGAUUCAUGACUGGGGUGAAGUCGUAACAAGGUAACCGUAGGGGAA